rnacentral:lncRNA from 1 species
UCAAUCAACUCAUAUCCAUAUGAAACCUUAUAAAAACUUCUUUUCAUCAUUCACCUACCAUGAUUAUGAAUUUUAGGACUCAGUCUCAUGAACUGCAUAGGACUUCUCCCUAUCUAUCAGGAUUGACAGAUCUAUCUUGGUGCACACCCUAUUCCUAUAAUGGAUCUACUAUAAUCAUCAUACACCGUAAAAUUUCGAAUGCCUAGAUAACCA